rnacentral:rRNA from 1 species
GUGGGGAAUAUUGGACAAUGGGCGAAAGCCUGAUCCAGCCAUGCCGCGUGUGUGAAGAAGGUCUUCGGAUUGUAAAGCACUUUAAGUUGGGAGGAAGGGCAGUAAGUUAAUACCUUGCUGUUUUGACGUUACCAACAGAAUAAGCACCGGCUAACUUCGUGUCAGCAGCCGCGGUAAUACGAAGGGUGCAAGCGUUAAUCGGAAUUACUGGGCGUAAAGCGCGCGUAGGUGGUUCAGCAAGUUGGAGGUGAAAUCCCCGGGCUCAACCUGGGAACUGCCUCCAAAACUACUGAGCUAGAGUACGGUAGAGGGUAGUGGAAUUUCCUGUGUAGCGGUGAAAUGCGUAGAUAUAGGAAGGAACACCAGUGGCGAAGGCGACUACCUGGACUGAUACUGACACUGAGGUGCGAAAGCGUGGGGAGCAAACAGGAUUAGAAACCCCUGUAGUCC